rnacentral:lncRNA from 1 species
CCUCUCUUAAAUCUCAGGGAGACACAGUCAGGACUGCAAUAUCUUAUCAGUGCCUGGAUGGGGAGGGGACUGCCAGGUAGGGGAGGAGAGAUGUGGACUCACUGCCGCCCAUAUCUCCAGUCUCCUCAGCACCUAGAAACAACUUACACUGCCUUAUAAGGCUGAAAUGCUGCUGCCAGAGAGCUGUGGGGCCCAGGCCUUGAAUUCUUGGUGCACCAGUGCUUGACAGGCUCCCCUUAUUUCCCACUGGCACCGCUGGGCCUAGGGGUUUUCCUAUUGUUUUUCUAAAGGCAUUCCAAGGCCAGGACAAUGUUAAUUUAAGUUCCUCCAGGCUGAAUUUUUUUUUUUUUUAAUUACAGAGGGGUGUCACUAUGUUGCCCAGGCUAGAAUGCUGUGCACUACAACAGGCUCAAUUCUCUCUCUCUCUCUUUUUUUUUUUUUUGUCGGAGAUGAGAUCAGCUAAUAACAGACUCAAUUCCUGACCUUCCUAGUUUUCUGAGACUGCAUCCACUUUGAUAGUUUCUACUGAGUCCAAAUUAGAACAUCCCAGCUGGUGGGCUGUCUCCCAGGAAGCCCUCGGAGAGGAGCGGUGCAUAGGGGGCACCUGGACACAGCCCACCUCCCCCGAGUAGCGUCAGGUAGGCUUGUCUAUCUACAUCCUUUCGCCCUUUCUCAGGAAACUAUCAGAUGAUGUGCUCCCCCAGAUGAAGAAGUAGUGCCAGGAAAAAGGAGACACGGGAUACAGGGAUCCUGAAGCCGGCGGAGGACAAGGGAGCUCCUGGGAGGACAGCUGUGCUCCGGCCUAGCAAUAGCGAGCAGCUGGUCCAGACUGCCGCCGUGACUCAGAAGAUAGACAUGCGGAGGGUUAUGAUCACAGAGCAACGAUGGUCCUUGUACAUGAAGAUAAAAAUGCUCAGGUGUGCCCAGGUUGAAGAAGAUGAAAGGCCCUGCCUCCCAGAGCGCCCGGGGACACUGGUGAUCUCUUCCAGGUCUGUUUCCACCCACUGCAGCUGUGGUGAGUCUAGAGGCAGAAAAUUCAUAGCAGCCCAUGCCCUUUGACCAUGUUUCUGCUGGUCAGCCUGCACCUCACUCACACUACGCCCUGUGACACAACCCCAGACAGACUCUGGAGAACUCAAGGGGACGUGGAAGCCAGGCUCUGCCCGGAAGCUCCACUCAGGUCAUCUUCAGGGAGCCGUGGGAGCAUCAUUGCCCUCCCCUUUCAAAGCUAGGUCUGUGCUUACUGCUCAGUUUUUUUCCAAACUAAACAAUGUUUUUGAGAGAUUCACAGAGAGAUAAAAGCAAUUAGGAAUAAAUGCCAGGGGGUGGUUAACACAAAGGUGGGGAUAUUGGUUACCUCUGGAGAGGAAAGGGGAUGGAAUGGCAGAGUGCUCAAGGGUCUCUGGAGGUGCUCCUGUCUCCAGUGUAGUCACGUGAGGUUCACUUUAUUCUUUAAUCUGUACAUACACUUUUUUUUUUUUUCUGAGAUGGAGUCCCACUCUGUCGCCCAGGCUGGAGUGCAAUGGUGUGAUCUCCGCUCACUGCAACCUCCACCUCCCAGAUUCAAGCGAUUCUCCUGCCUCAGCCUCCUGAGUAGCUGGGACUACAGAUGUGUGCCACCACGCCUGGCUAAUUUUUGUAUUUUUAGUAGAGACAGGGUUUCACCAUGUUGGCCAGGCUGGUCUCAAACUCCUGACCUCAAGUGAUCCGCCUGCCUCGGCCUCCCAAAGUGCUGGGAUUACAGGCGUGAGCCACUGUGCCUGGCCUGUACAUACACAUUCUCUAUAAAAUAUUUUGAAAUAAGCACUUUUAAUUAAUUAAGGAUUGUUCUGGAAAAGAAAAAAACUUUCUACUGAAAUAAUUGGCUGAGAUAGAAGUAAUUAUGUCUUAAAUGAUCUAGAUAAUUUUAUGACUGGCUGAAGCCUCAGCAUCAGAAGCAAGGGCUGAACAUUUUGGCUUCCUGCCAACCUUGACUCACUGAGCAAAUGAAUUUACCUUCAACAAUAUGUACAGUCCAGAUGUGCAUUUGUGCCUGUCUCAUUCUCAAUAUGAAAUAUGUUUUGAGAAUUGUUUGGGGUAAAAACAACAAAUGAUCUCUUUUGUCCACAUACUUUUCACCGUUCCUUCCUCGGCAGCCAAGUCGACUCAGCUGGCUCUUUGGGACCUGGCACAUUAAAACUAAAAUGUGCUCCAGUGGACUUCACUGUGUUUUUUUCUUUCUUUAACCAGCACAGGAGCUGCAGAAGGGCAUUUUGAAGUCUGGAGGUAAUGCCAGUUGGCCUGGGCAGGGAACAAUGUGUGAUUAAGCAGUGAAGGGGAUAAGGGACAAAUUCCGGGAGCCCUGCUUAUCUCUGCUGGAAUUACUGUACUGCAGGUCUCAAAUCCUGAAGGAUCCUGUAUUUGUUUUCACCUGGAACCUGGACCACAUUCAGGUGGCAGAUUAAAAUUAAGCCAAGUUCAUUCCAGGCCAUCCUAAUGAUUUUUUAAUUAGCAUCAGUGCACAGUGUAGUAAUUUGCAGUUCAUAGUCCACUUGUAAGUUGAAAUUAGAAACUGCAAGGACAGUAAUAUAAGUGGGAGGAGAGAUUUCAUUAAUCCCGUCAACAAAUAUUUAUUGACUGCAGCUGUGCUAGUGGGUAAUGAUAAUACAGCUAAGAGCCAAAACAAAGUUCCUCCCCUAUGGGCCUUUCUUUCCAGUGGGAAGAGGGUACAGGGUACAGUCAAUAAAUCCAAAUAUAUAUAUUUAUGUAUGCACACAGAUAUAUAUAUAAAACAAGUGGAAUGUGCUGUGAAGAAGAAGCAGGGUAAGGCUCUGGAAAGGGCCAAGGGUGUGCGUGAGUGGGGUGGUUACUGUAUAGAGAUUGGCCACGCCGGGUGCAGUGGCUCACGCCUGUAAUCCCAGCACUUUGGGAGGCCGAGGUGGGCGGAUCACCUGAGGUCUGGAGUUCGAGACCAGCCUGACCAACAUGGAGAAACCCCAUCUCUACUAAAAAUACAAAAUUAGCCAAGCGUGGUGGCGCAUGCCUGUAAUUCCAGCUACUCGGGAGGCUGAGGCAGGAGAAUGGCUUGAACCCGGGAGGCAGAGGUUGCUGUGAGCUGAGAUCGUGCCAUUGCACUCCAGCCUGGGCAAUAAGAGUGAAACUCCCUCUCAAAAAAAAAAAAAAAAAAAAAAAGAGAGAUUGGCCAGGAAAGGCCUCUGGCAAGAUGAUCUCUGAAGGAAGUGAGAGUAAGUGGUGCAGCUUUUGGGAGGAAGAUAGUGCUGGGCAGAGGGAAGAGCAAAGGCUACGUCUCUGCAUUCCAAGAUUACAAAUAGAGGGUAACAUUCACCCUCCACCCCUCAACGCCUCUUUCCUGUGACCUUCGGGAGCUGCAGAACUUCAGUGUCCAUCAGUCAGAGGCAAUGCCCCUGACCCAGACGCCUCUAGUUGAGAGAUAGACAGAGCUGGAUUUAUAGCACCACAGACCUGACCUGGAAUGAGACUUGCAAGUAUGUCAGGGAGCUGCACGCUAACCUAGGAAGAGGCUGGCCAGGUACCAUUUUCUGUAUGGUUAUGAUGAAGCAGCUGGUACAAAUGUUAGGGGACAGUGGCACAUGGUGGGGGAAAAGCCCAGCGCUCAGCUUCUGGUCUGGCUUUUCUACCUUAGGACCUUUUACUGUGGUCUGUGGGUCUUGGGGUCUGUGGGUCUUGGGGUCUGUGAUUGGAUAAAUGAAGGUAAGUAGACUGGGAAGGACAGAACAGGGAACACAGAUCUGCUUUGGCCGGGCAUGGGUGGCUCAAGCCUGUAACCCCAGCACUCAUAAUGACUUACAAAAGCAUUCAUUCAUAACUUACAAAAGCAUUCAUAAUGGUGGCCUUUGAGAGCUGGGAUUAUGGACAACUUAUAUACCUUUUUGCUACUUUUAUGUGAAUUUCUACAAAUUACUUUUUUUUCUUUUUGAGACAGGGUCUGGCUCUGUCGCCCAGGCUGGAGUACAGGGGCAUGAUCUCAGUUCACUGAACCCUCCUGGGUUCAAGCAAUCCUCCUGCCUUAGCCUCCCAAGUAUCUGGGACGACAGGUGUGCUCCACCACGCCUGGCUAAUUUUUCUAUUUUUAGUAGAGAUGGGGUUUCGCUAUGUUGGCCAGGCUGGUCUUGAACUCCCGACUGCAAGUGAUCCACCUGCCUCGGCCUCCCAAAGUGCUGGGAUAACAGGCAUGAGCCACUGUACCUGGCCUACAAAUUACUUUAGCAACAGAAAAAGAAGGUGAGCAAAGUUAUGCACAAGUGUAUUAACAAACUGCUCUCCUGUACCUAAAUCAGUCAUUCCUUUUUUUGAGACAGAGUUUCACUCUUGUUGCCCAGGCUGGAGUGCAAUGGCAUGAUCUCUGCUCACCACAACUUCCGCCUCCUGGGUUCAAGUGAUUCUCCUGCCAUGCCCGGCUAAUUUUGUAUUUUUAGUAGAGACGGGGUUUCUCCAUGUUGGUCAGGCUGGUCUCAAACUCCCAAUCUCAGGUGAUGCGCCCGCCUCAGCCUCCCAAAGUGCUGGGAUUACAGGCGCGAGCCACUGCACCCGGCCACUAAAUCAGUCAUUCUAUCCAGUUCCUUGCAUUUACUCCUUUCUUGUGCUAACCCACAGCCAGUACUUAAGAGUAUUUAAGUCCUCUCUCCUUUCAUGAGUCACUCCUUUUUGUCUUGUGACUAUACUUGGAAAAAUUUUAUUAUUCAUUCAUUUAUUUAUUUAUUUAUUUAUUUAUUUAUUUAUUUAUUUAUUUAUUUUUAGAUGGAAUCUUGCUCUGUUGCCCAGGCUAGAAUGCAGUGGCGUGAUCUUGGCUCACCAAAAAUUCUGCCUCCUGGGUUCAAGUGCCUCCACACCCAGCUAAUUUUGUAUUUUUAGUAGAGACGAGAUUUCACCAUGUUGGCCAGGCUAGUCUUGAACUCCUGACAUUGUGAUCCACCCACCUCAGCCUCCCAAAGUGCUAAGAUUACAGGUGUGAGCCACCAUGCCCGGCCUACCUGGAGCAUUAUUAAAACCUUAAACCUUUAAAUUUUUCAUCAUUGUGCUUUGUUUCCUUAAAGAUUAGGAAAGGGAUUGUCAGCGGAUAAGACUUGCCCUCUUCUGCUGCUCUCUAGCCGUGGGCAAGUUCCUUCCACUCACUGUGUGUCAUUUUCUUCAUCUGUAAACACAGGAUAAUAGUAACAACACCUCUCUCCUAGGGCCUGGACGGGGCAUGCCAGUAAGGGGUCCUGAAGCUUAGGCCCCUGGGAUUUGGAUAGAGAAAGUCAUGGUGAAGGUGGGUGUGACAUUGGUGAGGUGGCAUUGGACACCCUUCAGGGCCUCUCCUGUCCUCUGUACACUCCAGACAGUGCCCAUUUGUGCAGAGGCUGUCCUGGGUCUCUGCCUGAGGGCUUUCUCUGCUCCUCUACCCCAGACCAAUCCGAAGUGUCCCCACGAGCAACCUUCAACCAAAGAGGGACAGGAGUCGGUGAACAUGCACCUCAGCCUCCUCACCUCUCCGAGGAACUUUAAAAAAAUCUUGUAUUGGCUGCAUGGCAGAGAUGGGGGGAUUGCUUGAGCCUAUGAGUUCACAACCAGGCCUAGGAACAUAGUGAGACCUCCCUCUUCCCUCGGCCCAACCCGCCAACACCCCCAUCUCUACAGAAAAUUUUAAAAUUAGCCAGGCUUCGUGGUGGGAACCGUAAAAAUCUAAGAAGGGUCUCAGUUAAUUUAGAAAGUUUAUUUUUGGCUGGGAGCAGCAGCCCACACCUGUAAUCCCAACACUUUGGGAGACCGAGGCAGGCGGAUCACUUGAGACCAGUUCAUGACAGCCUCAGGAGGUCCUGAUGACAUGUGCCCAGGUAGUGGGGGCACAGCUUGGUUUUAUUUUUAUUUUUUACUUUUUAAAUUAUUAUUAUUUUUUUGAGACGGAGCCUUGCUCUGUCAUCCAGGCUGGAGUGUAGUAGCAUGAUCAUGGCUCACUGUAACCUCCGCCUCCUGGAUUCAAGCGAUCCUCCUGCCUCAGCCUCCCAGGUAGCUGGGAUUACAGGCACAUGACACCACACCCGUCUCAUUUUUGUAUUUUUUAGUAGAGAUGGGUUUUCACCAUGUUGGUCAGGCUGGUCUUGAACUCCUGACCUCAGGUGAUCUGCCUGCCUUGGCCUCCCAAAGUGCUGGGAUUACAGGCGUAAGCCACCACGCCCGGCCACACAGCUUGGUUUUUUCUUUUUUUUUUUUUUUGAGACGGAGUUUCGCUCUUUCACCCAGGCUGGAAUGAAGCAGAGGUUGCAGUGAGCCGAGAUCGUGCCAUUGCACUUCAGCCUGGGCAACAAGAGCUAAAGGAAACUCUGUCUCAACAACAACAACAACAAAGAGUUCACGAGCAGUCUGGGCAACAUAGUGAGCCCGGACCCAGUCUCUUUUUUUUUUUUUUUUUUUUUGAGACACAGUCUCCCUGUGUCACCCAGGCUGGAGUGCAGGGGCGCAAUCUCGGCUCCCUGCAACCUCCUCCUACCAGGUUCAAGCAAUUAUCCUGCCUCAGCCUCCCAAGUAGCUGGGAUUACAGGUGCACGCUAUCAUACCCAGUUAAUUUUUUGUAUUUUUACUAGAGAUGGGGUUUCACUGUGUUGGCCAGGCUGGUCUUGAACUCCUGGCCUCAAGUGAUCAACUCACCUUGGCCUCCCAAAGUCCUGGGAUUACAGGCAUGAGCCACCACGCCCGGCCUGGUCUCUUUUUAAUUAAAAAAAGAAAAAGAAAAAUGCAAUGUCAUGGACUUUGUAGACAUUGGGUUAGAAUUUUGGCUGCAUGACUUUAGACAAGUUACUUAUUCCUUCCUAUUAGUUUAUUUUCUUGGCUGCAAAAUGAGGAUAAUACCAAUGUAAGGAUGAAACAGUCCAUAAAGAGAUGAGCACAGGCCCCGGCACUUGGCAGGAGCCCCAUCAAUAUUGUCAGCUCCCAGUUAGGAUUCUCUAGGAAUAACCAGACUCGUUGUAUGCAUUGUCCUUUGGUUCUCAAAAACAGUUUGGCCUCUUAGUAUAGAAUUCUGUGAGGUAGGUUAAAGUUCUUCUUACGUCCUUGCUUAUGUUAUUAAUUUACUCAGCAAACUUUCCCAGAUCCAAGGUAACCUUUAGAGCAGUCAGGUACAAAUGGGUCUGGAGCAAUGUUACUCUCUUCCCUGGCAGUGCAGUCAUGAGCCUGAGCUGGCUGCAGAGAAGAGCUCACUGCAUCUCCCUGGAAUGUGGGGAGUUGACUGGGGAGUGGAUGGGGCCCAGCCCUCCCCAGAGAAGAAUAUCUUUCUGAUCACUGCCGUCUGUGGUGGGGCAUUCAGACUCCAGGAUUCCCAACUGGACGGCAGCAAUCCCUCAUUUCAUACGUGACCAGACGGAGGUUCUUUGUGGAUAUGUAAUUGAUGGGUGGUGGUGGUGUGGCAAGGGCUGGGGCUUAGAGUGAGGCUGGUUCAAAUCGGGUUCUGGUUCUGCCACUACUCAGAGAUCAAGCUGGCCAACUUGAUGCAAGUUACCUAACAUCCUUGAUUCUCAGUUUCCUCCUCCCUAAAAUAAGGAUAAGAUUAUCUACUUUACAUUGUGUAUGUUACAAGGAGAUCAUAUUUUGAUUAAAAUAGGGAGUGUCAUUUUCCUAAUAUUUGCUUACACUUGUCUCUGAUCCUUUUUUUGGGGGGCGGUGGGGGGAUGGAGUCUCACUCUGUCUCCCAGGCUGGAAUGUAGUUGUGGCGCAGUCUCUGCUCACUGCAACCUCUGCCUCCCGGGUUCAAGCGAUUCUUGCACUUCAGGCCUCCUGAGUAGCUGGGAUGACAGGUGCGUGCCACCAAGACAGGUAUGCGCCACCAAG